GCUUAGAAUUCUGAUGAGAAAGUGGGAGAGCGAGGACGAUAGAGUGAAAAAGAAAAAAGAGAUAAAAGAGACCGAUUGUCGUGCGCUUCAAGAGCAUGGCUGCUCAGAAUCGUACAGGGUCGCCACCUUACCCAACAUUCCCGACGACAACAAAACCGCAGAUGGGAUGUACAAGUCGCGGCGGAAGAACCCAAAGCGGAGGGGGGACAACUUAGAUGACUUGAAGCAAGAGCUGGACAUUGACUUCCACAAAAUCUCACCCGAGGAACUGUAUCAAAGAUUUCAGACGCACCCCGAAAACGGCCUCAGCCAUGCAAAAGCAAAGGAGAACCUGGAGAGGGACGGUCCGAAUGCCCUGACGCCGCCGAAGCAGACCCCGGAAUGGGUAAAAUUCUGCAAGAAUCUGUUUGGGGGUUUCGCCCUGUUGUUAUGGAUCGGUGCGAUCCUCUGCUUCAUCGCGUACUCGAUCCAAGCCUCGACCAGCGAAGACCCAAACGAUGACAAUCUCUACCUGGGCAUCGUCCUCGCGGCGGUCGUGAUAGUCACGGGUAUAUUCUCGUACUACCAGGAGAGCAAGUCGAGCAAGAUCAUGGAGUCGUUCAAGAACAUGGUGCCCCAAUUCGCCACUGUGAUCCGAGAAGGCGAGAAGCUCACCCUAAGAGCGGAGGAUCUCGUCCUCGGCGACGUCGUUGAAGUUAAGUUCGGCGAUCGGAUACCGGCCGACAUCAGGAUCAUCGAGGCACGGGGAUUCAAGGUGGACAACAGUUCGCUGACGGGUGAAUCUGAACCGCAAUCGAGGUCGCCCGAGUUCACAAACGAGAACCCACUUGAAACGAAGAAUCUCGCUUUCUUCUCGACAAACGCGGUAGAAGGCACGGCAAAAGGCGUGGUGAUUUGCUGUGGCGAUCAGACGGUGAUGGGAAGGAUUGCGGGUCUCGCGUCCGGUCUGGAUACCGGGGAAACGCCGAUCGCCAAGGAGAUACAUCACUUUAUUCAUCUUAUUACCGGUGUCGCUGUCUUCCUCGGCGUCACAUUCUUCAUCAUUGCCUUUAUCUUGGGCUACCAUUGGCUCGACGCCGUCAUCUUCCUUAUAGGCAUUAUUGUGGCGAACGUGCCUGAAGGUCUUCUAGCUACUGUGACUGUGUGCCUGACUCUGACCGCCAAACGGAUGGCCUCGAAGAACUGCCUGGUGAAGAAUCUCGAGGCUGUGGAGACUUUAGGAUCGACCUCGACUAUCUGCUCGGACAAGACAGGAACCCUGACGCAGAAUCGUAUGACAGUGGCGCACAUGUGGUUCGACAAUCAGAUCAUCGACGCUGAUACCACGGAAGAUCAGUCUGGCUUGCAGUACGACCGUACUAGUCCUGGAUUCAAGGCGUUAGCGAAGAUCGCAACGCUGUGUAACCGCGCCGAAUUCAAGCCAGGCCAGGAGGGUGAACCAAUCCUGAAGAGAGAGGUGAACGGCGAUGCGUCUGAAGCCGCGCUGCUUAAGUGCAUGGAACUCGCGUUGGGCGAUGUGAUGGGUAUCAGGAAACGCAACAAGAAGGUCUGCGAGAUUCCCUUCAACUCCACGAACAAAUAUCAAGUGUCUGUACACGAGUCGGACGAUCCCAAUGAUCCCAGGCAUUUGUUGGUAAUGAAGGGUGCUCCCGAGAGAAUUCUAGAUAGAUGUGCAACCAUAUUUAUCGGCGGCAAAGAGAAGGUUCUCGACGAGGAAAUGAAGGAGGCGUUCAACAACGCUUAUUUGGAAUUAGGCGGACUCGGUGAACGAGUGCUCGGCUUCUGUGAUUACACACUGCCGUCCGACAAGUUCCCGGUUGGUUUCAAGUUCAACUCCGACGACCCCAACUUCCCGGUCGAUGGGCUCCGCUUCGUGGGUUUGAUGUCUAUGAUCGACCCGCCUAGAGCUGCGGUACCCGACGCGGUCGCCAAGUGCCGUUCCGCCGGCAUCAAGGUCAUCAUGGUAACCGGUGACCAUCCGAUCACUGCCAAAGCCAUUGCCAAAUCCGUCGGCAUCAUCUCUGAAGGUAACGAGACCAUUGAGGACAUUGCGCAAAGGUUGAAUAUCCCGGUGUCCGAAGUAAAUCCGCGCGAGGCUAAAGCCGCGGUCAUCCACGGAACUGAACUCAGGGAACUGAACUCCGACCAAUUGGACGAGAUUCUCAGGUACCACACCGAAAUUGUGUUCGCCCGUACCUCGCCUCAGCAGAAGCUUAUCAUCGUCGAAGGUUGCCAGCGAAUGGGUGCGAUCGUCGCUGUGACUGGCGACGGUGUGAACGACUCCCCUGCUCUGAAGAAGGCCGACAUUGGUGUUGCUAUGGGUAUCGCCGGCUCAGACGUCUCCAAGCAAGCGGCCGACAUGAUUUUACUCGACGACAAUUUUGCCUCGAUUGUGACAGGCGUCGAGGAGGGCCGCUUGAUCUUUGACAACUUGAAAAAAUCUAUCGCCUACACCCUGACCUCGAACAUACCCGAGAUCUCGCCUUUCCUGGCGUUCAUCCUCUGCGAUAUUCCUCUGCCUCUGGGUACUGUUACUAUCCUCUGCAUCGAUCUGGGAACUGAUAUGGUACCCGCCAUCUCGCUAGCCUACGAGGAGGCAGAGAGCGAUAUUAUGAAGCGACAACCACGAAACCCCUUCACUGACAAGCUAGUUAACGAAAGGUGCCGGCCAUCUCGCUAGCCUACGAGGCACCGGAGUCGGACAUUAUGAAACGGCAGCCACGCGAUCCUUACAGAGACAAUCUUGUCAACCGAAGGCUUAUCUCAAUGGCAUAUGGUCAAAUCGGCAUGAUCCAAGCCGCGGCCGGUUUCUUCGUCUACUUUGUCAUCAUGGCCGAGAAUGGAUUCCUUCCCUUGUAUCUGUUCGGUAUCCGGAAGCAAUGGGACUCCAAGGCUAUCAAUGAUCU
rnacentral:misc_RNA from 1 species